rnacentral:misc_RNA from 1 species
UUAAACUUCACCAAAAACAAUGCAAAAACAAUCAUUAGUAACAACUAAGGCAGCCUUAACAGUUCAAAUCACUUCAUGGGUAUAAUUUGCAUUAACAGAAAAAAGAAUCAGACACUCAAUUUUACCCUAAAAACACCUAACCAAAACAUGUACUCCAAGCCUUCAAAACAAAAUGUCAAUCUUCAGAUUCGUGUUUAAAGAAAAAAAAAAUCAGUCAAAAAAUUGGAGCAUCGACAACUUAAACAAGUGAAAAUGAAGAAUUCCCAAAUCAGAUCAAAACUCAACUCAAGAAAACUCCAACGAUCUCGCAAGAUUCGCCUAAUCUACCAAAAAAAAAAACCCUAGAACUUAUACAGAUAGAAUAAUUAGGUAGAUAUAG